rnacentral:tRNA from 1 species
AACUAAUAAAUCAAUAUUGAUGGUGAACUGUAAAUUCACAUUAGAUAGAACUUUUAACUU